GAUCGCAAGGACUCCUUGAGAGAAGUGGGAAGGCUUGGGUGGGUUUUUUUUUUUUUGCCUGUUUGUUUUGUUUUUAGCUCAGCGCUUCUGAAACUGGAAGGUGCGCGCGCAUGACCUGAGGUGGGAUCUUGCUGAAACGCAGACCGAGGACCCCUGCGCCGGAUCCGCGUCAGGCGUGGUCACAACGGGGCCGUGUAGCUCCUGCACAGCCUCACCUCGCGGGGGCACCAGGCCCAGAGCCCCACUGCCGUGCCGAGAGGGCGAUCCUCUCCCUCCAACCGCAGGCCCAGGUGGAAGCCAAGCAGUUCCCACCAUCCUCUGCGUGAGGGAGAAGGGACGGCCUCGCGGGUGAGGCUUGGUUUUCUCCCUCCCUGGAGGAAACAAAAAUCAACUUAAAAAUAAGUUCAACAUCCAUUUCGGUAUGUGCCCCAGCCAUUCUGUGAAAUCCUCAGAAUUUGAUCAGCCCGUCAACCUCUCACUUAAUUACCUUUUCACCUCACACUUGCCUGACCCAAGAAAGUCUCCUGCCAUAGAGGGCUGCGAGGUGUUUUCAGAAGCUGGAAAGCAGCUGAGCACAGUGUCGGAUCCUCGCCCCCGCCCCGCUCGGGCCUCGGGUCAGGCCUCGCCUGGCAGGUGCACUCGUGGCCGCUCUGAAGUGACCGUCCGCUCCCAGGAGGCCUGCAGCUUCCAAGGGCGGUUGGCCGGCUACUGGGACUCACCCCGCAGCGCGUCCGGCUCCAAACGGAGCAGAGGAAACACCAUGUCCUCAAUGACUUAUCCUUGACUGACACCAUUUUUUUUCCCCCCUCAGCGGGGCUCUUCUUGUUAUGUGGUUCCUGCAAUAUCCUCUCCUCCCACACAUUUUUCCCCCCCUGUCAAAAAAGUUUCUAUUUUCUUCCUUGAAAUCUUUUUCCUGGUCUUUUUUUUUUUUUUUAAUCUCGCUUUCCAGCCUUCCUUUAAUGAGGUCAAAGACUACAGACAGACCUAUAGAUUUUGGCUUCAUCUGAGGACACGGAAUUCAAACAUCCAGGUGGAGAAACCAAGGCUUAAAGAGAUCAAGAGGCUGCCCACACUUACACAGCUGCUAAGGGACAAGGAACUUCGUGUUCUUCCUGUCACAGGUAUUGACGUGUCCCUGAGGGUUUCUCAGCCUCCUGAUGACCCCGGCAUGGCAUACCCGAAGCCUCAGUUUCCUCCUCUGCAAAAUGGAGGCAAUAAUGGUAUCUACCUUAUAGGAAUCAAUGAGAAACAUUUGGCCCAGCAUAUGACUCAUAAUAAACAUUUAAUUAUUA